AGCGAACGCUGGCGGCAGGCCUAACACAUGCAAGUCGAACGAACCCUUCGGGGUUAGUGGCGGACGGGUGAGUAACACGUGGGAACGUGCCUUUAGGUUCGGAAUAAUUCAGGGAAACUUGUGCUAAUACCGAAUGUGCCCUUCGGGGGAAAGAUUUAUCGCCUUUAGAGCGGCCCGCGUCUGAUUAGCUAGUUGGUGAGGUAAUGGCUCACCAAGGCUACGAUCAGUAGCUGGUCUGAGAGGAUGACCAGCCACAUUGGGACUGAGACACGGCCCAAACUCCUACGGGAGGAAGCGGUGGGGAAUCUUGCGCAAUGGACGAAAGCCUGACGCAGCCAUGCGGCGUGGAUGAUGAAGGUCUUGGGAUUGUAAAAUCCUUUCACCGGUGAAGAUGAUGACUGUAGACGGAGAAGAAGCCCCGGCUAACUUCGUGCCAGCCGCCGCUGUAACAC
rnacentral:rRNA from 1 species